GUGGGGAAUAUUGCGCAAUGGGCGAAAGCCUGACGCAGCGACGCCGCGUGAGGGAUGAAGGUUUUCGGAUCGUAAACCUCUGUCAGAAGGGAAGAAACUACGUUGUGCUAAUCAGCAGCGUACUGACGGUACCUUCAAAGGAAGCACCGGCUAACUCCGUGCCAGCAGCCGCGGUAAUACGGAGGGUGCAAGCGUUAAUCGGAAUUACUGGGCGUAAAGCGCACGUAGGCUGUAGUGUAAGUCAGGGGUGAAAUCCCACGGCUCAACCGUGGAACUGACGUUGAGACUGCACAACUUGAAUCCGGGAGAGGGUGGCGGAAUUCCGGGUGUAGGAGUGAAAUCCGUAGAUAUCCGGAGGAACACCGGUGGCGAAGGCGGCCACCUGGACAGGUACUGACGCUGAGGCGCGAAAGCGUGGGGAGCAAACAGGAUUAGAUACCCGUGUAGUCC
rnacentral:rRNA from 1 species